rnacentral:tRNA from 1 species
GCUGCGAUGACCGAGUGGUUAAGGCGUUGGACUUGAAAUCCAAUGGGAUCUUCCCGCGUAGGUUCGAACCCUACUCGCAGCG